rnacentral:rRNA from 1 species
AGUCGAGUGCGCGUCCGUAGCAAUACGGAUGGCGCACGGCGCACGGGUGCGUAACACGUGGGCAAUCUGCCCUCGGAUGGGGGAUAACCCCGCGAAAGCGGGGCUAAUACCGCAUGACAUUCCCGAGACUCCGGUCUUGGGACUCAAAGGCCGCAAGGCCGUCUGAGGAGGAGCCCGCGCCCGAUUAGCUAGUUGGUGAGGUAACGGCUCACCAAGGCUUUGAUCGGUAGCCGGUCUGAGAGGAUGGCCGGCCACACUGGAACUGAGACACGGUCCAGACUCCUACGGGAGGCAGCAGUGGGGAAUAUUGCGCAAUGGGCGAAAGCCUGACGCAGCGACGCCGCGUGGGGGAUGAAGCUUUUCGGAGUGUAAACCCCUUUCGACCCGGACGAAUGACCCGCAAGGGUUUGACGGUACGGGUAUAAGAAGCCCCGGCUAACUACGUGCCAGCAGCCGCGGUAAUACGUAGGGGGCCAGCGUUGCUCGGAAUUACUGGGCGUAAAGGGUUCGUAGGUGGUGCGGCAAGUUGGAAGUGAAAUCUCUGGGCUUAACUCAGAGGCUGCUUUCAAAACUGCCGUGCUCGAGUGCGAGAGAGGCCAGUGGAAUUGCAGGUGUAGUGGUGAAAUGCGU